rnacentral:rRNA from 1 species
AUUGAACGCUGGCGGCAUGCCUAACACAUGCAAGUCGAACGCGAAAGUCUUCGGACAAGUAGAGUGGCGGACGGGUGAGUAAUACUUGGGAAUCUGCCCAGUAGUGGGGAACAACUCGAGGAAACUCGAGCUAAUACCGCAUACGCCCUACGGGGGAAAGAUUUAUUGCUAUUGGAUGAGCCCAAGUCAGAUUAGUUAGUUGGUAGGGUAAUGGCCUACCAAGACCACGAUCUGUAGCUGGUCUGAGAGGACGAACAGCCACACUGGGACUGAGACACGGCCCAGACUCCUACGGGAGGCAGCAGUGGGGAAUAUUGCACAAUGGGGGAAACCCUGAUGCAGCAAUGCCGCGUGUGUGAAGAAGGCCUGAGGGUUGUAAAGCACUUUCAGUUGGGAAGAUAAUGACGUUACCAACAGAAGAAGCACCGGCUAACUCCG